CCCCUUUUAAAAGCAUUCAUUGGGCCUUUUGCAAAUGACUCAUGGAGUCAUCAAGAAAGGGCAGAGUAAAAACUCCAGUUUGGGUGAAGUCACAGUAGGUUCUGUUGUUUUCAUCCAAUUAGUGGUGUAACAAGA
ensembl:snoRNA small nucleolar RNA SNORA21